rnacentral:rRNA from 1 species
AUGAUUACCCAUCUUCUUUUUGCCGAUGACAGUGUAGUCUUCCUGGAGGGUUCACGAGAGAGCUUUGAAACGCUGCGAUCAAUCUUGCAGGACUAUAAGGUGGCGUCGGGGCAAAAAGUCAACCUACAGAAAUCGACGAUUUUUUUCGGAAAGGAUACUCAGGAUGAGGUAAAACAUGAGCUGAAGCAAGUAAUAGAAAUAGCGGAGGAAGCUUUGAGCGAGCGGUACUUGGGACUCCCUACGGUGGUGGGGAGAUCAAAAGACGGGUCUUUCAAAUAUGUCAAGGAUAGGGCCAAAGGGAAGGUU